rnacentral:rRNA from 1 species
CCCUUAGAUGGUCUGGGCGGCACGCGCGCUACAAUGAUGCAUUCAAAAAGUCUUCUGACCUUAGAAGGUUGGGUAUUCUCCAAAGUGCAUCGUGAUGGGAAUAGUUUAUUGCAAUUUUUAAUCUUGAACGAGGAAUUCCUAGUAAGUACAGGUCAUCAACUUGUGUUGAUUACGUCCCUGCCCUUUGUACACACCGCCCGUCGCUCCUACCGAUUGAAUGUUCCGGUGAGCUCUUCGGACUGCGCGGUCUGCAGUUUCUGCGUUCCGUGCGGAAAGUUGCGCAAACCUUAACAUUUAGAGGAAGGAGAAGUCGUAACA